rnacentral:rRNA from 1 species
GAUGAACGCUGGCGGCGUGCCUAAUACAUGCAAGUCGAGCGAACAGAUGAGGAGCUUGCUCCUCUGACGUUAGCGGCGGACGGGUGAGUAACACGUGGAUAACCUACCUAUAAGACUGGGAUAACUUCGGGAAACCGGAGCUAAUACCGGAUAAUAUAUUGAACCGCAUGGUUCAAUAGUGAAAGACGGUUUUGCUUUCACUUAUAGAUGAUUCCGCGCCGCAUUAGCUAGUUGGUAAGGUAACGGCUUACCAAGGCAACGAUGCGUAGCCGACCUGAGAGGGUGAUCGGCCACACUGGAACUGAGACACGGUCCAGACUCCUACGGGAGGCAGCAGUAGGGAAUCUUCCGCAAUGGGCGAAAGCCUGACGGAGCAACGCCGCGUGAGUGAUGAAGGUCUUCGGAUCGUAAAACUCUGUUAUUAGGGAAGAACAAAUGUGUAAGUAACUAUGUACGUCUUGACGGUACCUAAUCAGAAAGCCACGGCUAACUACGUG